rnacentral:rRNA from 1 species
GACGGAGGGUGCUAGCGUUGUUCGGAUUUACUGGGCGUAAAGGGCGCGUAGGCGGCCCUGUCAGUCGGGUGUGAAAGCCCGGGGCUCAACCCCGGAACGGCACCCGAGACGGCAGGGCUGGAGACCGGGAGAGGAGGGUGGAAUAGCCAGUGUAGAGGUGAAAUUCGUAGAUAUCAAGCGGAACACCGGUGGCGAAGGCGGCCUUCUGGACAGUGACUGACGCUGAGACGCGAAAGCGUGGGGAGCAAACAGG